rnacentral:rRNA from 1 species
UACGUAGGGGCAAGCGUUGUCCGGAUUUACUGGGCGUAAGAGCGUGUAGGCGGCCAAACAGGUCCGUUGUGAAAACUGGAAGCUCAACUUCCAGACGUCGACGGAAACCGUGUGGCUAGAGUCCGGAAGAGGAGAGUGGAAUUCCUGGUGUAGCGGUGAAAUGCGCAGAUAUCAGGAAGAACACCAAUGGCGAAAGCACUCUGCUGGGCCGACACUGACACUGAGAGACGAAAGCUAGGGGAGCAAAUGGG